rnacentral:lncRNA from 1 species
AUGAGGCUCCCAGCAGCCACUGAGGCCUUCCCAGAUGGACCACAAGCCCCAGGAGUUUGGCCCAUGACCAUCACGCCUCUACCUGCUGGCCCAGCAAAGCAGAGAGAGGAGCAGCCAGUGGUCAAGAAGACAGCGCCUCCUCGCUUCCUUCCGCCCCAGGAGCCAAGACCAGCCCAGGUCAAAAUGUUCUUCAAGCGUGCCCGGCUGGUGAGUGGUUCUUCUGGGGCUGAAAGGGAGAGGGUGCCUCCCUGGUGCCUUCCGCCCCUGGGCUCCACACCAGCCAUGCUCUUCAAGCGUGGUCCACCUACCGACACAGUUUGCCCCCAGCCAGAGAAAAACCCUGGCGACCUCAAAGGAGUUCCGGGCCUAGGUGUAAAAGAAAGCAAAGUGUAUGGGUUGGAGGUCAGGGCUGUAAACCAAAAUAACUGUGUCCGGUUCCUCCCGCCGCCGGAGCCCAGACGAGCCAGGAUCUGGAAGCGAACCUGGCUGGUCCAAGGGUUGCGCAUGCCACUGCCGUCCACUAGAUGUCUUUGCAACUGCAGAUCUGGAUUUCUUUUCAACCUCAGAUGUGUGUGUGGGGUUGUGUGGGAACCUGGGGCUGAGGAGAAGGUGGCGCCUCCCUUAUACAUACCCCCCCUGGAGCUCAUGCCCGCCGCGCUGUUCAAGCUGGGUCUGCUGGCUGAAGGCGUUCGCACGGCGCAAACCAGCGGAGGCUUUGAAGGACUCGGUAUGGGUGGGUUUCGCCAUGUUUUAGGCCCCGCUCUUCCCUUAACUGGUUCAACACCCCUAGUCGUAGGCCAGCCAAUCAGGACCAGACACCACAAGCCUCCCUCAUUGUUGUCAAGCCAGAACAAGACAGAUUCAGAGAGUCGGAGCAUAUGGGAGAGUGCAUCGGGGGCUGGCUGCUCAGGGCUCGGUCAGGUCCUACGCUGGCCCACAGCCCAAGUAGGCAGACUUGAUCCUGAACCAAGACAGUUCCCUUCCGCCUCCUUCACCCUCAGAGGUGAAAAGCACUGCGGGACCCCCACCCAAGGCAGGACGAUCACCUGUAGGAGGAUGAUAAGAGCCUGA